AGAGCAACCUCAAAGAAGGAGAUGACCCCCCAGCAGAGGCACCAGGGGGGCAGGCUUCUCCAAGCCAUCAAGCUCAGGAGGAGACAACAAAACUUCAGUUUACAGAAAGUGAGAGGGUCACGUCUGCAACAAGUAAGAGAGUACUGGAGUUCUUAGAAACCAGCCAUCGGGAAGACUCUGAGGACAUACAGAGCAUGGAAACCCAACUGAGGGGCAUGGGGUUAGCCUCAGCUAUCAUCCAUAAACAGCUGGAAGCAAUAGUUAAUCUCCUCAGCCAGCCUCCAAGGGCUGUCCCUGCACAGCCAGAUAGCUCCUUCUCUGCCACACCCUGUGUAGAAAAGGUAGAUGUUGUCACCAGUGUAUGUAGAAGCUUUAUGUGAUCCAGAGAGUGAGUUGCUCUUUGCAGUCAUAAGAGAUGGCUACUGCCUGGUGUAGCUCUCGCUUGCAGAGUGGCAAUGGAACAAGCCUUGUUAUCAGUCACCAUGGCUAGGGAGGGAAGAAAAGAGCACGUGAGGCUUAAUCUACAUAUGUUAAACCUACAGCUUUUGCAGAAGGGCAUGGAAUGGCUCGGGGAAGCAAGAUUAUCACAGUUACUGGUUGCUGAAAUAUUGCAUCAUUGCCUUGAUUCAGAUAAUCACCCAACCCCUGAAGACCAUCUACCAGAUCCUACUGAUUAUUAUUGA
rnacentral:lncRNA from 1 species